AUUGAACGCUGGCGGCAUGCUUUACACAUGCAAGUCGAACGGCAGCGCGGGCUUCGGCCUGGCGGCGAGUGGCGAACGGGUGAGUAAUACAUCGGAACGUGCCCAGUAGUGGGGGAUAGCUCGGCGAAAGCCGGAUUAAUACCGCAUACGACCUGAGGGUGAAAGCGGGGGAUCUUCGGACCUCGCGCUAUUGGAGCGGCCGAUGGCAGAUUAGCUAGUUGGUGGGGUAAAGGCCUACCAAGGCGACGAUCUGUAGCUGGUCUGAGAGGACGGCCAGCCACACUGGGACUGAGACACGGCCCAGACUCCUACGGGAGGCAGCAGUGGGGAAUUUUGGACAAUGGGCGAAAGCCUGAUCCAGCAAUGCCGCGUGUGUGAUGAAGGCCUUCGGGUUGUAAAGCACUUUUGGCGGGAACGAAAAGGACUGUGCCAAUACCACGGCUCGAUGACGGUACCCGCAGAAUAAGCACCGGCUAACUACGUG
rnacentral:rRNA from 1 species